rnacentral:tRNA from 1 species
UCGCGGGUGGCGCGCAGCGCCUGCUCGCCGUGGCCGACCAGGGCGGCCGGGGUCGACCAGGACGGCCCGUUCAGCCCGAGGCCCGCCAAC